rnacentral:rRNA from 1 species
UGAGGAAUAUUGCGCAAUGGGGGCAACCCUGACGCAGCGACGCCGCGUGGGUGAGGAAGGCCUUCGGGUCGUAAAGCCCUGUUGUAGGGGAAGAAUGGGUAUAUUUCGAAUAGGGAUGUACCGUGACGGUACCCUGCGAGGAAGCACCGGCUAACUCCGUGCCAGCAGCCGCGGUAAUACGGAGGGUGCGAGCGUUGUUCGGAAUCACUGGGCGUAAAGGGCGCGCAGGCGGUUGUAUAAGUCAGGUGUGAAAGUCCCGGGCUUAACCUGGGGAGUGCACAUGAUACUGUACGACUUGAGUACUGGAGGGGGAGGUGGAAUUCCCGGUGUAGAGGUGAAAUUCGUAGAUAUCGGGAGGAAUACCGGUGGCGAAAGCGACCUCCUGGCCAGAGACUGACGC